rnacentral:rRNA from 1 species
UGGGGAAUAUUGGGCAAUGGGCGGAAGCCUGACCCAGCAACGCCGCGUGAAGGAAGAAGGCUUUCGGGUUGUAAACUUCUCUUCUAAGGGACGAAGGAAGUGACGGUACCUUAGGAAUAAGCCACGGCUAACUACGUGCCAGCAGCCGCGGUAAUACGUAGGUGGCAAGCGUUAUCCGGAUUUACUGGGUGUAAAGGGCGUGUAGGCGGGGAAGCAAGUCAGAUGUGAAAAACCACGGGCUCAACCUGUGGCCUGCAUUUGAAGCUGUUUUUCUUGAGUACUGGAGAGGCAGACGGAAUUCCUAGUGUAGCGGUGAAAUGCGUAGAUAUUAGGAGGAACACCAGUGGCGAAGGCGGUCUGCUGGACAGCAACUGACGCUGAGGCGCGAAAGACGUGGGGAGGCAAACAAGGAGUUAGAUACC